UUUUACAAAGCAUUACAGGUACACCACCA
rnacentral:piRNA from 1 species